rnacentral:rRNA from 1 species
AUUGAACGCUGGCGGCAUGCCUUACACAUGCAAGUCGAACGGUAACAGGUCUUCGGAUGCUGACGAGUGGCGAACGGGUGAGUAAUACAUCGGAACGUGCCUAGUAGUGGGGGAUAACUACUCGAAAGAGUGGCUAAUACCGCAUGAGAUCUACGGACGAAAGCAGGGGAUCGCAAGACCUUGUGCUACUAGAGCGGCCGAUGGCAGAUUAGGUAGUUGGUGGGAUAAAAGCUUACCAAGCCGACGAUCUGUAGCUGGUCUGAGAGGACGAUCAGCCACACUGGGACUGAGACACGGCCCAGACUCCUACGGGAGGCAGCAGUGGGGAAUUUUGGACAAUGGGCGAAAGCCUGAUCCAGCAAUGCCGCGUGCAGGAUGAAGGCCUUCGGGUUGUAGACUGCUUUUGUACGGAACGAAAAGCCCCGGGUUAAUACCCUGGGGUCAUGACGGUACCGUAAGAAUAAGCACCGGCUAACUACGUGCCAGCCGCCGCAGUAA